CAGCGGCAGCCAGAAGGAACCGCCUGUCACCUGGGCUACCUAGAAAGGCAAUCCAGCUGUGGAGCCACCCCGGCCCUGCUACAUGCACAAGGAGCAGC